AUGCCAAAAAGAAGGAUGCGAAUGUCGACGGAUGGAGGCAAUUCAGGGUUGCCAUGGCAAUAUGAUUCACACCAUGCCUCACCCAGACCUUCCCCACGAGUUUCCAUUGAGACAUCCACAUGCUUGCAACAGAUUUACUCAUUUGGCAGCGAGAUGCUACACACUGGAGCAACGACUACGUCACAAAGCAAAGAAGGGACCCAUGUCUUUGUUAUCAUGAGUGCAACGCAUCUCUUGAAGCAGGCACGACCAAACGUGCCACACUACAGCAAACGGUGUGCAGAGUCACAGGCAUCUCUCAGGCAAGGGUGCACCAGUAAGGGACUGGUAUUCCCGCCUGCCUGCAUUCAGGGAUGCCUGUAAACCUGGGAAUGCUCGGCUCUUGCUGUUGCCUUCAGUAAGAUGGUGACUCUUUCACAAAAAAAACAAAAGGUACCUGUCCUGCUCCCAGUCCCCCAAACUCAAAGAGGUGGACGGAAAGCCUGUGAAGAGUGACCCUGCCCUGCGUUUAGGCAGCUCAGCAGGAGCACAGGCAAAUGUUGGGACCAUUUUACUUAUGGGGGGGAUGCCAGUUUAAUAUAUUAAUUUAGUAUUACCAUGCUUAGCAUUAACGCUUGUCUUAAGGAUCCCUUUGCUGCAAGGCUGGAGCUGAAACGUGUUGCUUUUACCUGGAAAUACAUGAAAUAUCUCCUUCUGCAAACCCUGCCUGUGCUCCUCGCCCCAGGUUCCAUCUUGUGAUACCUGCACUUUUUCAGUCCCGGGCCGUGGGAUGUCCAGGCAGAUCAAGGGCUCACCAGCCUUUCCAGAGCAGGUCUCCUGAUGCCCUCUGCCAAGCUGGCCAGUGCCUCCCUGGAUGCCUGCCACCAGCCCUGCCUGGAUCUGGUGUCCCCAGCCCAUGGUGACACUAGGGUCCAUUUCUGCUGCAUGGCAGUGACAUCUAGAGGCUCCCUGGCCUGAGCUCCGGCCUCUCGCUGCUCACAUGCGGCUGGCAGCACUCUGGCAGGCAGAAACCUGCUCCCCACAAAGCCCCAGUGAAGCCCAUUCACACCCUAAGGAUGAAGUACUGCAAGACUUAAAUCCAAGCUCCUUCCCUCAGCCACCACGGGAAGGAUCUUCGUUGUAGCACCCUGCGGAAAUUCGAUAU
rnacentral:lncRNA from 1 species